CCUACGGGAGGCAGCAGUAGGGAAUCUUGCGCAAUGGGCGAAAGCCUGACGCAGCCAUGCCGCGUGAAUGAUGAAGGUCUUAGGAUUGUAAAAUUCUUUCACCGGGGACGAUAAUGACGGUACCCGGAGAAGAAGCCCCGGCUAACUUCGUGCCAGCAGCCGCGGUAAUACGAAGGGGGCUAGCGUUGCUCGGAAUUACUGGGCGUAAAGGGAGCGUAGGCGGAUAGUUUAGUCAGAGGUGAAAGCCCAGGGCUCAACCUUGGAACUGCCUUUGAUACUGGCUAUCUUGAGUACGGGAGAGGUGUGUGGAACUCCGAGUGUAGAGGUGAAAUUCGUAGAUAUUCGGAAGAACACCAGUGGCGAAGGCGACACACUGGCCCGUUACUGACGCUGAGGCUCGAAAGCGUGGGGAGCAAACAGGAUUAGAUACCCUGGUAGUCCACGCCGUAAACGAUGAGUGCUAGUUGUCGGCAUGCAUGCAUGUCGGUGACGCAGCUACGCAUAAGACACNCCGCCGUCGGGAGGUACGGUCGCGAGAAGUUAAACGUUAAAGUUAGUUAAGUUAGUACGGCGUUGAGACGUUGCCGACGGACGACGACGAGGGAGGAGG
rnacentral:rRNA from 1 species